GAAUUCCAUGUGUAGCGGUGAAAUGCGCAGAGAUAUGGAGGAACACCAGUGGCGAAGGCGACUUUCUGGUCUGUAACUGACGCUGAUGUGCGAAAGCGUGGGGAUCAAACAGGAUUAGAUCCCCUGGUAGUCCACGCCGUAAACGAUGAGUGCUAAGUGUUAGGGGGUUUCCGCCCCUUAGUGCUGCAGCUAACGCAUUAAGCACUCCGCCUGGGGAGUACGACCGCAAGGUUGAAACUCA
rnacentral:rRNA from 1 species